UUCGCUAUCAUUUUUACGAUUUUAUUAGUCUUUAUCUUUUUAUAGAUAAUCUAUCGUAUAUAGAUAACUACUAUAUAUUUUCUUGGGUAUGACAUUAAACACUUUCUGGUAAUCCGAUAACCUAAUUGAAUUUAUAUGCAUAAUAAUAUACAACUCGAAUUUGCACAAUAUUAUUAAAAUUAUAUCAUAUUAUUUUCCUUAUUUAUAUUUUAUAAAUAGUGUUCAAAAAUCAGCCUUGUUGCUAAGCAGAACUUAACAUUGCGAUCGGCCCGCAUGAGGUCAGCACCUCUAAGCGAAUAGAUUUCUCGUGACCUCUGACACGCAUGCGCGAUCUUUUCAUUUACUUGCUGGAAGUAACGGCCAUUAACGGCCAUUGUCGAUCCCAUCUUGAACUCGUUCGCACGUAAUUUGGUUUUGCUUAGGUUUUGCACUCAAAUUGUGCAACUUACCGAUCUGUACUCAUAUUAAAACGAUUGCGUAUUAACACGCAUCUAGUUGUUUCAUUGCUAACACCUUUGUAGCGAAUCCUAUUGUUCCCAGCGCAACAUCGGCAGGGUAAAUUUUGAACAUUGAUCCUUCGAGCUGGAUUCGUUACAAAUUCUGAAUUAGUGUUCGUGGAAGUGCGUGAUUGGUGCGGGCGUCUCAAUUCGAAUCUCAUGCGGAUUCCGUUUCUCAACGCUCACGGGAGCAGUGAUACUCAAUUAAAGGAUACACUUAAUAGUGGUGUUCAUCAGCAACCAGCAAUGGCAAAGGCAACUUUCGGAAAAGUGAAUUAAUUAUUUUGAAUAUUAUUGAACACGCUACAAACAUUAUGACGUCCGAUAACACCAUAGUGGUGUCACACGCGAAGUGUUGCUCAACGGCCGGUUAUACCACAGUGGUGUCACGCACAAAGCGUUGUUCUACGCCUGGCGACAUCUCCGAAGAUGAAGUAAGAAAACGGUCGGGCGUAAGCAAAGUAAUCUGAAGUAGCGCUGCCGGCGCCAAGCGAAGAAAUUUUUUCGAAACGCCCGGACGUCAUAUGUUAAGCUUCUUCCACCGAGUAGUGGGUAGAGCUCUGGGCUCACUUAUUCUCCUACUGCCGACGCGGUUGGUACUUCCAAGUCGACAAGGCGGAAUUCACCAGCACGUGUGCUAACGGAACUCUUACUAAAAUACCGCAGCGAACUCAACCAGCUUGAGUUUUUGAGCGCAAUGUUGGGGAAAUUUGAGAACUUAAGGGCUCGGUAGUUGGAACACAUCAAGGCUUCCCCCGCCCGGCCAUCUACGAGAAAGAAUCAAUUUAACUAUCUCACGAUCUCAACCAACCAACGGCAGCUUACCAGGCCGCUAUUCAUCAAGACAGUACUCAAUCAGAAACACGAGAGUUUCAUUAUGAUUGUUGUAAGGGCAAGCACUUCAUUGUGACUUACUCAAAGUUUCGUUCACUAAACAUCGCUACACGGCGUAGCAUAGCCACUAACGCCAGGCCAUGCUUCGACUUUUUAGGACGUCACAACCCGAACUCAUGCCGAACGAGUCUGCGUUAUAAACAGUGUGGAGUAAUGCAUCACAUCAUGCUCCACGACCCAGGACGGCCUAAGCCAAUAACCGCACCAAAAACAAAGCUCUGUCGCCUUCAACCUCAUCUUUACUUUAGGAAUCAGGAGCAAUCGUUUACUAAUCAUCCACUCAAGGCACUCAUUACUUAACGCUGCUGUCACAGCAAUUGCCAAGGUUUACACACAAGUACUCACUCGUCAUGCUCGUCUACUCAUCGAUCCUUGUUCAGAGCUCACGUUCAUCUCUGAGCAACUCAUCAGUCAACAGAACAUCAAACGCCAGUACUCAUCUAUACCAAUCAUCGGUGUUGGAGGAAAGAGAACAAAACAAACCCUUUGUAUGAUAUAUCUAACCUUGGGUUCCAUCUACACGAGCCUAGAGGUCACCGUUUAAGCUCACAUCCUCAAGACUGUUUCCUCCAUACUGCCAUCGUUCCAAUCUCACAAUAAUAAGUGGUCUCAUCUCUCAAAUUUGAAUCUGGCCGAUCCUCAUUUUCUCGAGCCCCGCUCCAUUGACAUCAUUAUUGGAGCUGAUUCAUACGGGCAAAUCAUCGAGCUCAACAUCAUCAAAGGUUCCAGGUCAAUGCCAAUUGCUCAACGCUUCAUUUUUGGAUGGCUUGUUUUCGGUCUAGUACACUUACUGCACUCAGUAUCACAUCAAGCACACCAUAUCACCACUCACGUUGAUGAAACAAAGCUGCAAGAACUACUCACUAAAUUCUGGAUAUAAGAGUUAUCAUCCGACACUGCAAGUGCGCCAACUCCAGAAGAGAUGGAGUGCGAAGACCAUUUCCGCACCACGCAUACGCGAGAUAUCUCCGGACGAUAUGUCGUGCGGCUCCCACUCAAAUCAUCACCCAACUUACUGGGUAACCAGCAGUACUCAGCAGCUCAUCAUUGUUUACAACGAACACGCAAAAGGCUCCAGCGAUAUGACUAGUAUCAUAAACUAUACACCUCAUUCAUGGAGGGAUAUGAAAAGCUUGGUCAUAUGAUUCCUAUUUCAGGCAACUCAUCGAGGUCGGCACGAGAAGGUGAGCCUAACACUUGUGAGACUGUUGGUGGGGAUGACCGUGGCACCAGAUGGUUACGACCAUCUGGAGGGUUGAGGCUCUCAUCCAACAGCUCACGGGCAAGGACUCAACCUCGACCGACAUACUACCUGCCGAAUCAUGGAGUUCUCAAACCAGACAGCAUAACAACCAAGCUGCGAGUGGUGUUUAAUGGCUCGAGCAAAACCACGUCAGGCUAUUCACUCAACGAUCUCAUGCACACCGGUGAGAACCUAUUACUCGACAUCACCGGCACAUCUUCGUUACAGACAUCACGAAGAUGUACCGACAAAUCAAAGUGCAUGAGGACGAUUGGGACUUUGCAGCCAAUUCUGUGGGUUGACAAAGAACUCAAAGAGAUUCAUUACCAUCACACAUCAAAAAUUCAUUAUCAACAACAUCAAAGUGGGCUCAUUAGUGCUUCUCACUGAUGAAAGGUUCCCUCCGAGCAAGUGGCCAUUGGCAAGGGUCACCACUCUUCACCCUGGCAAGGACGGAUUCACCAGGGUAGUCACGUUGAAUACUGCAAACUCAAUACUCACCAGGCCAAUUGCAAAGCUCGCACUUUUUCCUACCCAGCCCUAGGGACACUACAGCAAUUACAUCAGCAACACUGUCGCUGAUGGCGGGAGAAUGUUUGAGAAUCAGCUUUGUUGCUGAGCGGAACUUAACAUCGCGAUCGGCCCGCAUGAGGUCAGCACCUCUCAGCGAAUAAAUUCCUCGUGACCUCUGACACGCAUGCGCGAUCUUUUCAUUUACUUGUCUCUGGAAGUAACGUCCAUUAACGGCCAUUGUCAAUCCCAUCUUGAACUCGUUCGCACGUAAUUUGGUUUUGCACUCAAAUUGUGCAACUCAUCAGUCUGUACUCAAAAUAAUACAUUUUACUCAAUAAAACCUAUUGCGUAGUAACACGCA
rnacentral:lncRNA from 1 species